rnacentral:rRNA from 1 species
GUUGAACGCUGGCGGCAGGCCUAACACAUGCAAGUCGAGCGGAUGAGAGGAGCUUGCUCCUCGAUUCAGCGGCGGACGGGUGAGUAAUGCCUAGGAAUCUGCCUGGUAGUGGGGGACAACGUCUCGAAAGGGACGCUAAUACCGCAUACGUCCUACGGGAGAAAGCAGGGGACCUUCGGGCCUUGCGCUAUCAGAUGAGC